rnacentral:rRNA from 1 species
AGGAAGUAAAAGUCGUAACAAGGUCUCCGUUGGUGAACCAGCGGAGGGAUCAUUAAUGAGGUCAAAACCCUCUCCAAACCACUGUGAACCUACUAUAUUUCGUUGUUUCGGUAGGCGGCCCCUGGGGGGGUCCUAGGCCUUUAGGCGCCUACCGGGCGGCACUUCAAAAAAACCUUACAAUUCUUGCUUUCAGCGUAUACCAGCCUGUCUUAAGGGCGUUAUAAUCAAUAAAAACUUUCAACAACGGAUCUCUUGGUUCUGGCAGCGAUGAAGAACGCAGCGAAAUGCGAUAAGUAAUGUGAAUUGCAGAAUUCCGUGAAUCAUCGAAUCUUUGAACGCACAUUGCGCCCACUAGCACUCUAGUGGGUAUGCCUGUUCGAGCGUCAUUACGACCCUCAGGCCGUUCCCGAAAGGGCAAUAGGCCUGGAGUUGGGGCGCUACAGCGUCUCGCAGGCGCUGUAGGUUCCGAAUUUCAGUGGCGGGCUCGUUGGAACCUCAGCGUAGUAGAUUCUAUCGCUCGGGGCGUUCCGGCGGGCGUCCGGCCGUAAAACUCCUAAACCUAACAAGG